rnacentral:misc_RNA from 1 species
GUGAAUCAUCAAAUUUUUGAACGCAAAUUGCACUCUCUGGUAUUCCGGAGAGUAUGCCCGUUUGAGGGUCAGUUUAAAUAAAAAUCGGUGUGGUUGCUGCCUUUCGUGGUGACGCACCGGAUUUGGGUCGUCUUGCCUUCGGUUAAGUGACCUAAAAUUUUGCAUGAUUUUUUUCGAACGAAUUUAAAUGAUUUACGUUACUUUUCGGUUUAGAAA